AGGGGUCCGGUAGGCGGAUCUGUAAGUCAGUGGUGAAAUCUCACAGCUUAACUGUGAAACUGCCAUUGAUACUGCAGGUCUUGAGUGUUGUUGAAGUAGCUGGAAUAAGUAGUGUAGCGGUGAAAUGCAUAGAUAUUACUUAGAACACCAAUUGCGAAGGCAGGUUACUAAGCAACAACUGACGCUGAUGGACGAAAGCGUGGGGAGCGAACAGGAUUAGAUACCCUAGU
rnacentral:rRNA from 1 species